ensembl:lncRNA
AUAUUUGAGGAAGAGCUUUCCAGGCAGAGAGAAGAGCUUCAGACACAGGCCCUAGGCAAAUGAGGGUUCCUGGUGUGUUCCCGCAGCAAGGAGGCCUGCAUGGCUGGGUAGAGCUGGGGAGGGGGAAGAGAGAGAGCUUGGUGGCUUAUGUGGCAGUGAAAGGAGAUAGAUUUCUAGAAAUGGAAUUGCUGCAGCAGAAGGACUGCAUAUGUUAACACUAGAGACAGACGACCAGCUUGUUUUUCUACAGUUUGUUCCAGUUUCCACUCAUCUCAACAGUUUACGGGGAUCUACAUCUCACUGAAAUCAUGAUGACAGCGGGUGAGGACGAGAAGUUGGCUAUCUACUACCCUGAAGAGGGCUCUCCCCACAACCCACCCACGCUGGCACCCUGAUCUCAGACUUCCCGCCACCAGAACUGUGAGAAAUAGACUUCUGUUGUUCAUACCCACCCAGUCUGCAGUAGGUUGCUAUCGCAGCCUGAAGGAAGACAUAUAUGGUUACAGUUUCAAUUUGCAUUCCUUGGAUUACUAGGUAGGUUGGAUUUUUAAAUGCUUUUUGAUGACUUUUCUUUCCUCUUGUUUAGAAUUUUUGGCUUAUGCCUGAAAAAGAAUUUUUCUUUUGGGGCAUUCAUCAUUUUUAUUUCUUCUAUGUACCUUAUAUAGGUGAUACAAACUGCUAGUUUUCUCUCAAUAUCCAUUCACCCCUUUUCCCAAAGAAUAGACUUUUUGACUCUGCACAGCUAAGGAUUAUGUUUCCCAGCCUCCUGUGUAGCUAGGUAUGGUCGUGUGACUAAUCUAGGAGCUCUGAAUGAAACUGAGCUGUGAAAUUUGGGGUUAUGCUUUAAAUGGAAGUGAUAUGGCCUUUUCUUGGUUUCCCAGGGUGGAAACUCUUAUUUGUGAUACUUUUAUUUUCAGUUCAUUCUUUUGGUUUUUAGUUAAAAAAUACAUAUGUAAAUAAGGACAAUAUUCUCUUUUGCUUCCAAAAGCAGUAGAAUUUAAAACAAUGGCCACUGUGUUUGCCUUAGCAGGCGCGAUGGCAACUCUAGGCCUCAUCAGUUACCUGUGUAACAAAAGAAAUGUGAUGUUAAAUCUCUAAUUGGAUUUUCAAAUAAAGAUGUUGAUACAAAACAAACAAACAAUUAAUAGUUUGUGUGAAUCUUGUCUUAUUGAAUUAUCUAGAAAACCAUCUUAAAGAAGAUUUUGAUAAUGGACAACUUUUUCUUGUCCCUGAAAAUGUUUCUUCAGUAUGCCUCUGCUGAUGGUUUGUUAAAAAAAUAUUUUGUAUCAUGUUACAGACAUGUCUUUGUAUUGUAUUUCAGUCUUGUUAUACGUCACUUAACUAUUCAGCAAUAUUUGUUGAGUUAUAACAAAUGUCUCUUCAGCAUCUAUGAUGAUUUUAUACUUUUUCUUUUAAUCUAUUGGUGUGAUCAAUAUAUUAAUAAUACUUUUAUUAUAGAAGUGUCUUUGCAAUUCUAGAAUUUAUCUUGGAAUUAUUAUUUUAAUAUAUUGUAUUUGAUUUGGUAAUAGUUUACUUUUUUGUGUGUAUGUUCUUAGGUGAAAUCGACAAGCAGUUUUUCCUCUUUGUGCCUAUUUUAUUGGAUUUUUAUUUUAAGAAUAUGCUUCAUCCAAGAAGUAAUUAAGAUGUUUUUCUUAUAUUUCUAAGCUCUGGGAAAAAUGUUUGUAUCUAAAACUGUCUAGACAUGGUGCAUUUCUUGGAAUUAAUAUUUUUUGUCAACCUAACUUAUUUUUCACACUUAUUGGUUUAUUGUUGAACCAUUUUGCUUAGAGAACUCAAUCAUCCUAUAUAUAU